UGUUGGGUUAAGUCCCGCAACGAGCGCAACCCUCGCCCUUAGUUGCCAUCAGGUUAAGCUGGGCACUCUAGGGGAACUGCCGGUGACAAGCCGGAGGAAGGCGAGGAUGACGUCAAGUCCUCAUGGCCCUUACGCCCAGGGUGGCAAACGUGCUACAAUGGCGUGUACAAAGCGAUGCAAUAUCGUGAGAUGGAGCAAAUCGCAAAAAGCACGCCCCAGUUCGGAUUGGAGUCUGCAACUCGACUCCAUGAAGCCGGAAUCACUAGUAAUCGCGGAUCAGCCAUGCCGCGGUGAAUACGUUCCCGGGCCUUGUACACACCGCCCGUCACACCAUGGGAGUGGAUUGCACCAGAAGUGGUUAGUCUAACCUUCGGGGGGACGAUCACCACGGUGUGGUUCAUGACUGGGGUGAAGUCGUAACAAGGUAGCCCUAGGGGAA
rnacentral:rRNA from 14 species